rnacentral:tRNA from 1 species
AGACAAUGAACUUGUUUAAGUUUAUGCUUUGAAAGCAUAAUAAAGAGAUAAAAAUUCUCUAUUGUCUU